GGCUUUAUAGUCAAAUUAUGAUGUUAGGUUGCAAUUCUAAAGUUGUUAUUAAAACUAAAGCCU
rnacentral:tRNA from 1 species